UGCUUACUUUGCAUAAAAGCCUUUGGUGAGGGACUUUGUUCAAGGCUUUCUGUAAGUCCAAGUACACUAUGUCUACUGGGACACCCUUGUCCAGGUGCAUGUUGAUACCUUCAAAUAAUUCUAAUAGAUUGGACUGGCAUGAUUUCCUUUUACAAAAGUCGUGUUGACUCUUCCGCAACAUAUAGCAUUCCUCUACAUGUCUGAUAAUUCUGUUCUUUACUAUAGUUUCAACCAGUUUGCCUAGUAUUGAAGUUAGGCCUACCGACUUGUAAGUGCCAGGAUUGCCUCUGGAGCCUUUUUAAAAACAUAAGAGUUACGUUAGCUAUCUGCCAGGUAUCUGGUACAGACGCUGAUUUAAGCAAUAGGUUACAUACAACAGUUAGUAGUUCUACUGCAGUUUCAUAUGAGUUCCCUCAGACCCUUGGGGUGAAUUCCAUCCAGUCCUAGUGAGAUAUUACUCUUUAUCACUUUCUUCCAAAACCUUCUCUACUGACACUUCAGUCUGGGACAGUUCCUCAACUUUGUCACCUGAAAAGCAUGGCUUAGAUGUGAGAAUCUCCCUCACAUCCUCUGCAGCAAAGACCAAUUCUAAGAAUUCAUUUAGCUUCUCCACAAUGGCCUGAUCUUCCAUGAGUGCUCCUUUAACUUCUUGACUGUCCAGUGGCCCAAUUGGUUGUUUAGCAGGCUUCCUGCUUCUGAGGUACUUAAAGUAACAGCAAAAAAAAAAAAAAGUUUUGUCUUUUGCUAGUUGCUCUUCAAAUUCUUUUUUGGCUUGCCGUAUUUAUGUUUACACCUGACUUUCCAGAGUUUAUACUCCUUUUUAUUUUCUUCAGUAGGAUUUGACUUCCAAUUUUUAAGACAAAUUUUUGUCUCUGACCAUCUCUUAUACUCUGUUUAGCACUGGUGGCUUUUUUUUGGUCCUCUCACUGUUUUUAUUUGGGGAAUACCUUUAGUCUGAGCCUCUGUUAUCAUAGUUUUUAAAAGUAUCCAUAGAGCUUGCAGCAUUUCACCUUUGUGACCGUGUUCCUUUUAAUUUCUGUUUAACUUGGGUCUGGUCUACACUAGACGGUUAGGUCAAUGCAAGGCAGCUUACAUCAACCUAGCUUUGGAAGUGUCUAUGCACCACUUCCCUGAAUGGCGUAGGGUCAAGGUCGAUGUAGUUAAGUCGACAGAGGGUCAGUGUUGACACUGUUACUUACUUCGACUGUUACUGGCCUCCAGGUGAUGUCCCACACUAACAGCUCUGGUCACCAGUGUGUACUCUGCUGCCCACGGGCCAGGUGGACAGGAAGCUGUCCCUCCCCUUUAAAGCCUCGCAAUUUCUUUACAUUCCUUUUCCUGGUUGUCUGGCUUGGUGAGCACACCAGGCAGCUCUCCACUGUUGUGUGUAACUGCCCACUGACUAUGCCAGCUAUAUGCUGCAGACACGCUCCUGCCUGGAAUACACAGGAGGUGUUGGAUCUCCUGGGGCUGUGGGAAGAAGAGGCUGUGCAGGCACAGCUCCAAUCCAGCCAUAGAAAUGUUGACCUCUGUGAGCAAAUGGCUCAGGGCAUGUGGGAGAAGGGCUACAAGAGGGACUGGCAGCAGUGCUGUGUGAAAGCCAAGGAGCUCUAGCAGGGGUACCAGAAGGCUAAAGAGGCCAACAAUCCAUCUAGUGCUGAGCUGCAGACCUGCCACUUUUACAAAGAGCUGCAUGCCAACCUCAGAGAAGACCCCACCACCACCUGCAAGAGCCCCAUGGAUACUUCAGAGGAACCACAAGCCCUCACCAUGAACAGCGAAGAGGAGGGGGUGGACAAGAAAGAGGCGAAGGAGUAUGGGGGACAGGUGACCAGGGGAUCCAGCUGUGCAGUGAGGAAGGAUCUGUUUGACUCCAGUGCACUGCUGCCAGUCCCAACAGCUGCACCUGAUGCUAUUGUGGCCAGGAGGGUCUCCCUCUUCACACCUGCCAAGCUUCUAAGCCAGAUGAGUGGGAGAAAGAUAACAUGUUCCAGGAGAUCCUGCAAGCCUGUGCUGCUACAGAGAAUGAGACCAGGGCCUGGAGGAUCACCCUUGCAGCCGGCCUGGAGAAGGAGAGGGGAAUGUACAAGGACAUAGUGGGGCUUCUCAGGCCACAAACAGAUGCUGAAGACUCUGGUAGACGGGCAGGUCCAAGAAUCCCAUGCUCAUAUCCCUCUGCAGCCCAUGGAGAACUCAAUGUUGGGACCCCCCUCCCAACAUUUCAUGUGCCAUGAGCAAUUGCUGCACUACCACUCCCCCCCAGGGAACAUGAAAGACAAUCAGAGCUGCCCAUGCACUGACUUGUGGAAGCCGGGGUUGGUGUACGUGCAUCUGAAAUAGAAAUGACUGCACUUUCCCCUUCAUAAGUUGUUUCCUUAAUAAAUUAAGUUCUAAAUGUUUUA